rnacentral:rRNA from 1 species
AACGAACGCUGGCGGCAUGCCUAAUACAUGCAAGUCGAACGAGCCCUUCGGGGCUAGUGGCGCACGGGUGCGUAACGCGUGGGAAUCUGCCCUUGGGUUCGGAAUAACGUCUGGAAACGGACGCUAAUACCGGAUGAUGACGAAAGUCCAAAGAUUUAUCGCCCAGGGAUGAGCCCGCGUAGGAUUAGGUAGUUGGUGAGGUAAAGGCUCACCAAGCCGACGAUCCUUAGCUGGUCUGAGAGGAUGAUCAGCCACACUGGGACUGAGACGCGGCCCAGACUCCUACGGGAGGCAGCAGUAGGGAAUAUUGGACAAUGGGGGCAACCCUGAUCCAGCAAUGCCGCGUGAGUGAUGAAGGCCUUAGGGUUGUAAAGCUCUUUUACCCGGGAUGAUAAUGACAGUACCGGGAGAAUAAGCCCCGGCUAACUCCGUGCCAGCCGCCGCAGUAAGAC